rnacentral:rRNA from 1 species
GUCGUCGUGCUGGACACCCAGUCGUACCCUGGUGACCUUAAUUGAUCUGACGAGCUUGGUCUGAUGUGAUUUUAUCUGACAAAGAGUGGCGAACGGGUGAGUAACACGUGGGUAACCUACCUCUUAUCAGGGGAUAACAUUUGGAAACAAGUGCUAAUACCGUAUAAUACCAACAACCGCAUGGUUGUUGGUUGAAAGAUGGUUCUGCUAUCACUAAGAGAUGGACCCGCGGUGCAUUAGCUAGUUGGUAAGGUAACGGCUUACCAAGGCAAUGAUGCAUAGCCGAGUUGAGAGACUGAUCGGCCACAAUGGGACUGAGACACGGCCCAUACUCCUACGGGAGGCAGCAGUAGGGAAUCUUCCACAAUGGGCGCAAGCCUGAUGGAGCAACGCCGCGUGUGUGAUGAAGGGUUUCGGCUCGUAAAACACUGUUAUAAGAGAAGAACGGCACUGAGAGUAACUGUUCAGUGUGUGACGGUAUCUUACCAGAAAGGAACGGCUAAAUACGUGCCAGCAGCCGCGGUAAUACGUAUGUUCCAAGCGUUAUCCGGAUUUAUUGGGCGUAAAGCGAGCGCAGACGGUUAUUUAAGUCUGAAGUGAAAGCCCUCAGCUCAACUGAGGAAUGGCUUUGGAAACUGGAUGACUUGAGUGCAGUAGAGGAAAGUGGAACUCCAUGUGUAGCGGUGAAAUGCGUAGAUAUAUGGAAGAACACCAGUGGCGAAGGCGGCUUUCUGGACUGUAACUGACGUUGAGGCUCGAAAGUGUGGGUAGCAAACAGGAUUAUAUACCCUGGUAGUCCACACCGUAAACGAUGAGUGCUAGAUGUUCGAGGGUUUCCGCCCUUGAGUGUCGCAGCUAACGCAUUAAGCACUCCGCCUGGGGAGUACGACCGCAGGUUGAAACUCAAAGGAAUUGACGGGGACCCGCACAGCGGUGGAGCAUGUGGUGUAUUCGUAGCAACGCGAGACCUUACCAGGUCGUGACGUCCUCUGCUGAUCCUACAAUAGACGUUCCCUCGGGACAGGUGACAGGUGGUGCAUGAUGU